AUGCAAGUCGAACGGCAGCACGGGCUUCGGCCUGGUGGCGAGUGGCGAACGGGUGAGUAAUAUAUCGGAACGUACCCAAGAGUGGGGGAUAACGUAGCGAAAGUUACGCUAAUACCGCAUACGAUCUACGGAUGAAAGCAGGGGACCGCAAGGCCUUGUGCUCCUGGAGCGGCCGAUAUCUGAUUAGCUAGUUGGUGAGGUAAAGGCCCACCAAGGCGACGAUCAGUAGCUGGUCUGAGAGGACGACCAGCCACACUGGAACUGAGACACGGUCCAGACUCCUACGGGAGGCAGCAGUGGGGAAUUUUGGACAAUGGGCGCAAGCCUGAUCCAGCAAUGCCGCGUGAGUGAAGAAGGCCUUCGGGUUGUAAAGCUCUUUUGUCAGGGAAGAAACGGUAGAGGCUAAUAUCCUUUGCUAAUGACGGUACCUGAAGAAUAAGCACCGGCUAACUACGUGCCAGCAGCCGCGGUAAUACGUAGGGUGCAAGCGUUAAUCGGAAUUACUGGGCGUAAAGCGUGCGCAGGCGGUUUUGUAAGUCUGUCGUGAAAGCCCCGGGCUCAACCUGGGAAUUGCGAUGGAGACUGCAAGGCUUGAAUCUGGCAGAGGGGGGUAGAAUUCCACGUGUAGCAGUGAAAUGCGUAGAGAUGUGGAGGAACACCGAUGGCGAAGGCAGCCCCCUGGGUCAAGAUUGACGCUCAUGCACGAAAGCGUGGGGAGCAAACAGGAUUAGAUACCCUGGUAGUCCACGCCCUAAACGAUGUCUACUAGUUGUCGGGUUUUAAUUAACUUGGUAACGCAGCUAACGCGUGAAGUAGACCGCCUGGGGAGUACGGUCGCAAGAUUAAAACUCAAAGGAAUUGACGGGGACCCGCACAAGCGGUGGAUGAUGUGGAUUAAUUCGAUGCAACGCGAAAAACCUUACCUACCCU
rnacentral:rRNA from 1 species